rnacentral:rRNA from 1 species
UACGUAGGGUGCGAGCGUUGUCCGGAAUUAUUGGGCGUAAAGGGCUCGUAGGCGGUCUGUCGCGUCGAAAGUGAAAACCCAGGGCUUAACCCUGGGCCUGCUUCCGAUACGGGCAGACUAGGGGUAUGCAGGGGAGAACGGAAUUCCUGGUGUAGCGGUGAAAUGCGCAGAUAUCAGGAGGAACACCGGUGGCGAAGGCGGUUCUCUGGGCAUUACCUGACGCUGAGGAGCGAAAGUGUGGGGAGCGAACAGG